CGAGUUCUCGUUGAUGAUCGGUGCUUGCACCGAGAUUCAACAUGGAACGAGUGGCGGACGGGUGAGUAACACGUGGGUAACCUGCCCUUAAGUGGGGGAUAACAUUUGGAAACAGAUGCUAAUACCGCAUAGAUCCAAGAACCGCAUGGUUCUUGGCUGAAAGAUGGCGUAAGCUAUCGCUUUUGGAUGGACCCGCGGCGUAUUAGCUAGUUGGUGAGGUAAUGGCUCACCAAGGCGAUGAUACGUAGCCGAACUGAGAGGUUGAUCGGCCACAUUGGGACUGAGACACGGCCCAAACUCCUACGGGAGGCAGCAGUAGGGAAUCUUCCACAAUGGACGCAAGUCUGAUGGAGCAACGCCGCGUGAGUGAAGAAGGCUUUCGGGUCGUAAAACUCUGUUGUUGGAGAAGAAUGGUCGGCAGAGUAACUGUUGUCGGCGUGACGGUAUCCAACCAGAAAGCCACGGCUAACUACGUGCCAGCAGCCGCGGUAAUACGUAGGUGGCAAGCGUUAUCCGGAUUUAUUGGGCGUAAAGCGAGCGCAG
rnacentral:rRNA from 2 species